CAUUAGACAAAAUAGGAUUAUGCAUCCGUCACCACAGCGCCAACGCCGCGGCCAUUUUCACUUUCCAGUAUCCACCCGCGGCGGCGCUCCUCCUCCUCACUGUUGAAUCCCGCCCCACCUGCUCCGCCUUCGAACUGCUCGUCUGCUUGCCCCACCCCCCUCUCGCUCACGGGCGCGGCGGCUCCGGAAGAAAUCGGGGCAGGGCCUGGCCGCGGGAGCUCCUCGACGAGCUUGGAGACUUCGGCGCUGACUUGGGCCGGACAAAUCGGUGCCCGCCUGCUCUUGGAUUCACGGGUCGAGCUCAGGGCGCGUCACCUGUUCGACGGAAUGCUCAACAAGACCGCGGCGAGCGGCAAGGGUCACUUCGGCGACCUCACCGACGACCUCCUCCGGCACGUCUUGUCCUUUCUGCCUGCUGCUGAUGCCCUGCAGACUUGCGUGCUCGACACUGGGUGGCGUGACCAUUGGAGGCGCACCACCAGCCUGCCCCUCAUCUUUGACCAGUCGAGUUUCCCGAGCUCUGAACGUUUCAAACAGCUGGUGAAGCUCUUCAUCCACAUCCGUGGGAACUCACCUCUCGACAAGUGCAAGAUUGUUGCCUGUCUCGAUGACGUGGAGGAGCGCACAUACACAAAUACCAUUCUGUUGAUCGAGUACGCUCUGAAGUGCCAAGUUAAGGAGCUCCUACUCAGUGUUGCUGUUGACAAAGACUUUGAGUUUGAGCCACUAAUACUUGAUGCGCCUCUCAUCUCUCAGCACUUGAAGAUCCUACACCUUGAGCGGUUUGAAUUAAAACGCUCCACUCUGAAUUUCUCGCGCUGCUCGGUAUUGGAGGAACUAGAGAUGCAAGAUUGCAACAUUGAUGCACGCAGGAUAUCUUCCAAAUCGCUAAAGCGUCUCUGCAUUACCGACUUUUGUUCCUUCCCUAUGAAGUUUCACAUUCGGAUAUUUGCUCCGGGUCUUAUCUCACUGCAACUUGAUAAUUUUGAUGGCUUGACCCCUUCACUUGAAUACAUGCCAUCUCUAGAAACAGCUUAUGUUUGGCUUCACAAUAGUUGCUAUGAUUCUUGUCAUAGUAACCGGCAGAACUGUGAGUAUGAGGACUGUAGCUGUCAUGCUUAUCCAGUUGAUGAGGGUGUGCUUCUCCAUGGUUUGUCCAAUGCUGUGAAUUUGGAGUUGUUUAUCUAUAGAUGGGAUUUAGAAUGCUGCCCCAUAUUUGACAAACUAAAGACUCUAUCACUCAAUGAGUGGUUUACGACUAUUGACCUACCGUGCAUUCUCCAACACUCUCCAGUUCUUGAGGUGCUCACUCUUCAGCUUGGUAGCACUGAGAGCAACAGGAGCAGAAGAAAAGAUAGAGCAAUCAUUUGUAUGCUCGCACCUUAAGGUUGUCAACAUUGAAUGUAGAAAGGUCGAUGAGGGAGUUCACAAAAUUCUGAAGUUCUUGAGUAAAUGUGGCAUACUUCGUGAUCAAAUUAGCAUCACUCACCGUUUCAGUUUCCAGAAGCCUAUGCGUCCCUUGCCUCGGUCUACCACGGAACCAGGCGGACUCUCCAGUUUCCACCCGUGACAGCGCUUGAGAUCUGACACAUGCUCGCUUGUGAUGGUGGUCUGAAGCCUCAUGUCUCUCUGAAUAUGUCUGUAACGACAGUCCUAUUAGUUGUUACCACCAUAUUCAGUUUCCAGCUUUCUAUCCUUUGGUACUGUACUGGAAGCCUGCGUGUUUGUUGUUUGGCGAAACUCAUGAAAAUGGAUUUUAACUGCUGGGCAUUCUUUUGGAUGAGUAGUUGGACCUGAGCUUGGUUUAAAACCAGGGGAUAACACCUUUUGUUGCAUCUUCUCUUACCCUGUUGCAGUGUCUGUGUUUCAAAUCUUCGAGUUUGCCUGUCUGAUCGCACCACCCAGGAAGUUUGCUGGAGAAAAGAACCGCCCUGACAGAAACAAAGGCCAGGCAAAACAAUUUUUUUGUCUAAAUGGUCUGCUCAGCUUGAUGCAAAAUUCUUCUUGAUAUAUUGAUACUGAAUCACAAGAUGAGAAGCAUCUAUUUAUACCUCA